UACGUAGGGGGCAAGCGUUGUCCGGAAUCAUUGGGCGUAAAGAGCGUGUAGGCGGUCCGGUAAGUCGGCUGUGAAAGUCCAGGGCUCAACCCUGGGAUGCCGGUCGAUACUGCCGGACUAGAGUUCGGAAGAGGCGAGUGGAAUUCCCGGUGUAGCGGUGAAAUGCGCAGAUAUCAGGAGGAACACCGGUGGUGUAGACGGCUUACUGGACCACGACUGACACUGAGGCACGAAAGCGUGGGUAGCAAACAGG
rnacentral:rRNA from 1 species